AUAUAGACAGUGAUGGUGUAGAGAUGACAGGUUAAAAGCCUGAUAUAGACAGUGAUGGUGUAGAGAUGACAGGAGCAGGUUAAAGCCUGAUAUAGACAGUGAUGGUGUAGAGAUGACAGGAGCAGGUUAAAGCCUGAUAUAGACAGUGAUGGUGUAGAGAUGACAGGAGCAGGUUAACAGCCUGAUAUAGACAGUGAUGGUGUAGAGAUGACAGGUUAAAAGCCUGAUAUAGACAGUGAUGGUGUAGAGAUGACAGGAGCAGGUUAAAAGCCUGAUAUAGACAGUGAUGGUGUAGAGAUGACAGGUUAAAGCCUGAUAUAGACAGUGAUGGUGUAGAGAUGACAGGUUAACAGCCUGAUAUAGACAGUGAUGGUGUAGAGAUGACAGGAGCAGGUUAAAGCCUGAUAUAGACAGUGAUGGUGUAGAGAUGACAGGAGCAGGUUAAUAGCCUGAUAUAGACAGUGAUGGUGUAGAGAUGACAGGUUAAAGCCUGAUAUAGACAGUGAUGGUGUAGAGAUGACAGGAGCAGGUUAAAGCCUGAUAUAGACAGUGAUGGUGUAGAGAUGACAGGUUAAAGCCUGAUAUAGACAGUGAUGGUGUAGAGAUGACAGGUUAAAGCCUGAUAUAGACAGUGAUGGUGUAGAGAUGACAGGUUAAAAGCCUGAUAUAGACAGUGAUGGUGUAGAGAUGACAGGUUAAAGCCUGAUAUAGACAGUGAUGGUGUAGAGAUGACAGGUUAAAAGCCUGAUAUAGACAGUGAUGGUGUAGAGAUGACAGGUUAAAAGCCUGAUAUAGACAGUGAUGGUGUAGAGAUGACAGGUUAACAGCCUGAUAUGGACAGCGAUGGUGUAGAGAUGACAG